rnacentral:tRNA from 1 species
GCCCGCUUGGCGGAAUUUGGUAGACGCAACGGACUUAAAAUCCGUUUUCCUUUAAGGAAGUGGGGGUUCGAAUCCCUCAGCGGGCACCA